rnacentral:rRNA from 1 species
GAGACAGCAGCCGCCGCGGUAAUACGGAGGGUGCAAGCGUUAUCCGGAUUUAUUGGGUUUAAAGGGUCCGUAGGCGGACCUGUAAGUCAGUGGCGAAAUCUCAUAGCUUAACUAUGAAACUGCCAUUGAUACUGCAGGUCUUGAGUGAAUUUGAGGUAGCUGGAAUAAGUAGUGUAGCGGUGAAAUGCAUGGAUAUUACUUAGAACACCAAUUGCGAAGGCAGGUUACCAAGAUUCAACUGACGCUGAGGGACGAAAGCGUGGGGAGCGAACAGGAUUAGAUACCCCGGUAGUCCCUGUCUCUUAUAC